CGGAGGGUGCGAGCGUUAUCCGGAAUUACUGGGUUUAAAAGGGUGCGUAGGCGGCUAUGUAGUCAGGAGUGAAAGUUUGCGGCUCAACCGUAAAAAUUGCUUUUGAUACUGCAUGGCUAGAAUUAGGAUGAGGUCAGCGGAAUGUGGCAUGUAGCGGUGAAAUGCAUAGAUAUGCCAUAGAACACCAAUUGCGAAGGCAGCUGGCUAGACCUGGAUUGACGCUGAGGCACGAAAGCGUGGGGAGCGAACAGGAUU
rnacentral:rRNA from 1 species